GCCCGGGUGUCGGAACCGGAAGACGACGGUGUCCUAAAAACACCUGUCCCGAAAGGGGCGUGUGGGUUCGAAUCCCACCCCGGGCA
rnacentral:tRNA from 1 species